ACGUAGGGUGCAAGCGUUGUCCGGAAUUACUGGGCGUAAAGAGUUCGUAGGCGGUUUGUCGCGUCGUUUGUGAAAACCAGCAGCUCAACUGCUGGCUUGCAGGCGAUACGGGCAGACUUGAGUACUGCAGGGGAGACUGGAAUUCCUGGUGUAGCGGUGAAAUGCGCAGAUAUCAGGAGGAACACCGGUGGCGAAGGCGGGUCUCUGGGCAGUAACUGACGCUGAGGAACGAAAGCGUGGGUAGCGAACAGG
rnacentral:rRNA from 1 species